UACCAGCACCCCGAGUGGUCGGGACGAUUAUUGGGCCUAAAGCAUCCGUAGCCGGUUCUACAAGUCUUCCGUUAAAUCCACCUGCUCAACAGUUGGGCUGCGGAGUAUACUAUAGAGCUAGGAGGCGGGAGAGGCAAGCGGUACUUAGUGGGUAGGGGUAAAAUCCGUUGAUCCAUUGAAGACCACCAGUGGCGAAGGCGGCUUGCCAGAACGCACUCGACGGUGAGGGAUGAAAGCUGGGGGAGCAAACCGG
rnacentral:rRNA from 1 species